CACGGAGGGGGCUAGCGUUGUUCGGAAUGACUGGGCGUAAAGCGCGCGUAGGCGGUUCGGUAAGUUGGAUGUGAAAGCCCGGGGCUCAACUCCGGAUGUGCGUUCAAGACUGCCGAACUUGAGACCGAGAGAGGAGAGUGGAAUUCCCAGUGUAGAGGUGAAAUUCGUAGAUAUCGGGAGGAACACCAGCGGCGAAGGCGGCCUUCUGGACGGUGACUGACGCUGAGACGCGAAAGCGUGGGGAGCAAACAGG
rnacentral:rRNA from 1 species